rnacentral:rRNA from 1 species
UACAGAGGUGGCAAGCGUUGUUCGGAAUUACUGGGCGUAAAGGGCGCGUAGGCGGCCUUCUAAGUCAGACGUGAAAUCCCCCGGCUCAACCUGGGAACUGCGUCUGAUACUGGAGGGCUUGAAUGCGGGAGAGGGAUGUAGAAUUCCAGGUGUAGCGGUGAAAUGCGUAGAGAUGCGGAGGAACACCGAUGGCGAAGGCAGCCCCCUGGGCCAACACUGACGCUCAGGCACGAAAGCGUGGGGAGCAAACAGG